AGGGACUUAGGUUAAUUAGACCGAGGGCCUUCAAAGCCUUUAGCAGGAGUACAAAUCUCCUAGUCCUUA
rnacentral:tRNA from 1 species